CCCCCCUAUAUAAUCCCCGGCGAGAGGCUUCACUGCUCGCCUACCGCCUGCACCCACCUCUCAGUGGUCCUCGGGGGCGGUGAAGCACCAGUAGUGGCGGCUGAAUGCCCACGCGGUUCCAUGGCAACCAACGCUCCAGGGGCGGAGCGGGGGCGGGGUCCGCGCAGGAGCAGUCGUCCCUAUUCCCGGGCAGUGCGAGCUCCUCUCUAGGAUAGCGGGGACCCCGGGGACGGUGCAGCGACCCCAGACCCCGGACAGGUCGUCCCUGGUCGGCUUAUGUGUUACUGACCGCCAGCGUAGAAAAACUAGCGUUUCUGUGGAGUCGAAAUCUGGAUCCUCCGGGGAAAGCGCAGCAGCCUGGGACACAGCCGGGGCGCCUGUAGCACCGCACACCGGUCCUUCCCGGCGGGGUCCCCUUCUCCUCGCCCUCCUGAUCCUGCCCUUGAGGAGCCGACCUGAGUCACAGGGUCAUCCCGCAGUGGCUGCUGAUGCAAGUUGCCCAGCUGGUACCAGCAAUGGCUUGAGAAAGCAGACAGUGAGAUGUGGUUUUACCUGGUCACUGGCUGGCUGCCCAGUGGUGGAGAGGCGCCGACCUGGUGGUGCUGACGCUGUGCACGGGGUGAGGCCAAUGAGAGGCUUCUCAUACAACUGGGAAAACAAAGGCUGGAGACCAGGGCAAGCUGGGGGCAUCACCUGACAGUGUGGCCUGACAGGAGGCCGCUGAGAUGUGCCAAGCUCGGCCGUCACCACAGCAGAGCUCAGUCACACAGGCUAAGCUGCCCAUCGCCGGAGAAAGGAAGGUGUGACCCUGAGAAACCAAAAGGGAUCAUGGCCACGCCCCACCACCUGGCUGGUCCCAGCCCACCUGUGAAGGGGGGUCCCACUUCACUGCUUCACCACUGGAAGAAUGCAGCCUAGAAGCUGAGGUCACUCUGUCUGCUUCUGGGUCCUGUUGUUUCCUCAUCCUACCCAGGUUACCUUCCAAAACCUGGCUCCUCCGCUGUGCCCUGUAGAGCACCUGUUUAGACUUUUGGUUGGGACGCUGCCAGGUGUGUGAAUUGUAAAUAAAAGCCAUGUAGGUCUUUAAAUUUGGGAGAUCUUGCUUGUUUUGUUUUGUUUUGAUUUUGGUAGCAGGGAUGGAACUUGGGACCUCAUACUUGCAAGCAGGUGGUGGCACCACUGAGCCCUGGCUCUUGUUUUGUCUUUUUUGGGACAGGGUCUCACUGUGUUGUUGCCUAGGCAGGC
rnacentral:lncRNA from 1 species